CCUAUGGGAGGCAGCAGUGGGGAAUUUUGGACAAUGGGCGCAAGCCUGAUCCAGCCAUGCCGCGUGCAGGAUGAAGGCCUUCGGGUUGUAAACUGCUUUUGUACGGAACGAAAAGACUCUGGUUAAUACCUGGGGUCCAUGACGGUACCGUAAGAAUAAGCACCGGCUAACUACGUGCCAGCAGCCGCGGUAAUACGUAGGGUGCGAGCGUUAAUCGGAAUUACUGGGCGUAAAGCGUGCGCAGGCGGUUAUAUAAGACAGAUGUGAAAUCCCCGGGCUCAACCUGGGAACUGCAUUUGUGACUGUAUAGCUAGAGUACGGCAGAGGGGGAUGGAAUUCCGCGUGUAGCAGUGAAAUGCGUAGAUAUGCGGAGGAACACCGAUGGCGAAGGCAAUCCCCUGGGCCUGUACUGACGCUCAUGCACGAAAGCGUGGGGAGCAAACAGGAUUAGAUACCCUGGUAGUCCACGCCCUAAACGAUGUCAACUGGUUGUUGGGUCUUCACUGACUCAGUAACGAAGCUAACGCGUGAAGUUGACCGCCUGGGGAGUACGGCCGCAAGGUUGAAACGUCAAAGAGUAGUGACGNGAGAGCGCGACGGACGGCACGAGGGAGGAGAG
rnacentral:rRNA from 1 species